GGCCGCGGGAAUUCGAUUCAGGCCUAACACAUGCAAGUCGAGCGAACCCUUCGGGGUGAGCGGCGGACGGGUGAGUAACGCGUGGGUAACCUGCCCUGUACACACGGAUAACAGACCGAAAGGUAUGCUAAUACGAGAUAAUAUAUUUUAAUCGCAUGGUUAAAGUAUCAAAGCUCCGGCGGUACAGGAUGGACCCGCGUCUGAUUAGCUAGUUGGUGAGGUAAUGGCUCACCAAGGCGACGAUCAGUAGCCGACCUGAGAGGGUGAUCGGCCACACUGGAACUGAGACACGGUCCAGACUCCUACGGGAGGCAGCAGUGGGGAAUAUUGCACAAGGGGCGAAAGCCUGAUGCAGCAACGCCGCGUGAGUUAAAAGGGCCUUCGGGUCGUAAAGCUCUGUCCUCAAGGAAGAUAAUGAC
rnacentral:rRNA from 1 species